CUGUUUUGCUCUUGCAUCUGGGGUGGUCAGCCGGGGGCUCUGCUGGUCAUGGCUGGAGUCGCACACACGGCUGGGGCUUGGCUGGCUGCUGGCCGAUCUAGGCUGGCCUGGUCAGGAGGAGUCAGGCCUCUCAGUCUGGUCCACGAGCCCCUCAUCCGCCAGGCUAGUUUAUUCGUGUGCUUCUCACAGUGACAGUGGGGGCAGGAGGGAGUAAGCGCAGCCCCUUGAAGCAUUUCAAGCCUUCGUGGGGAUCACGGGUGCUGACGUCUCGCCGGCCAAAGCCUGCAGCGUGUGGUCCCGAGUCCGUGUGGGAGGGCGCUGCAGGGUCACGGGGUACCAUGUUCAGAAAACGCUGGGGAUCUUUGAUUCAGCGAUCCCGCCGCCAGCAACUUUGUAUCCUAAGGAAGUCACCGGGCAGUGGACAAAGACGUGUGCACAAGGAUCCUCCUCCGGCCAGAGGCUGCAACCCUCAAUGGACAUCAGUCAAAGGCCACGGUAGCUUCUCCUGCCCGGCCACGCACCUGCUCUGUGACUAGGGGACGUCACUUGGCCUCAGCAACCCUGUGAAUGAGAACGGCGCCCACUUCCCGUCGUACGUGGCGCAUCCGAUGCACUCAACAACGGUAGCCAGAUGCUGUUAUUAUUAUCAUUGUUAGUAUCGUCAUUGUUGUUCCUUCGAUGCCCGUCCCCUUUUCCUGGCUCUUCAUGGAACAAACCCACAGGGUGCAUUUCAGCCGGGGCCCAAGCUUCUGUUCAGCACGCAGCAGCCCAUGUCCCCAAACCCUCUUUUGAAUUUUAGAUUAUAGGUUUGAUUAAGAGCUCAAGAGAGUAGAACAUGAAAACACGAGCAAUGCUCUCUUUCCCGCGGCGGCCACACUUUUCUGCCCCCUUCCUUCCAUUCCACCAGCUUGGCUGUGAGUGUCUCUGUGCUGGAAGUGACAUCACUUGUCACUUGGGGACAAUGAGACAAACACUGAGAGCUCCCACCAUCUGCUGGACUGUGGACUGCUCACUACACAGUGAUCAUAAACACCUGGUGUCUAUUCACGCGCCCGCUUCACGGAAAGAGAAACUGAGGCUCCGGGAGGUUAAGUCGCCUGUUCUCAUUCCCACAGCGAGCCCGGGGCGGGAUGGACACUCAGGCCGACGGGAUGUGGACGGUCAAGGCCUACGCCACAGCCGCCCGCGUGCCCAGUGGAUGGGCCUGGGGGGAGGAAGAGGAAUCAGUGUGGUCCUCACCCUCGGGGGCUGACAGUGGAUGCGAACUGCCAGGAGCGGGAGGCUCUGAUCCCGUUUCCCGUUGUAUACACGGGAAACCGCCACCACCUUCCAGAUCGUGAACAUAUCGAUUCCACCCAGAAGCCUCCUCCUCAGGACCCUGUAUGAUCUGUCCCUCCCUCCAGCCUCCACUGCCGCCACCCUCCAACCCAGGCCACCGCCCCUCUGCUUCCUGUCACUGCAGAUUACGUUGCCUUUUCUAGAAUUCUCUAGGAAGGGAACAGUGCAGCCCGGAAUGUUUCGUGUCUGUCUUCUUUCGUGUAGCAUGGUACCCCUAGAUGUAUCUGAGUUUCCACAGGCAUCAACAGGGCCUUCCUUUUCAUUGCUACGUAGUAUUCCGUUGUCUGAAUGGACUGUCUGUGGAUCCAUUCACUGGCUGCUGGGUGGGGUUUAAAAGGCUUCCAGUUCUGUGCUGUUGCAGACAGAGCUGCCAAGGACGUCGGUGUCGCCUGUGUGUGAAUGCGUGCCUUCAGUUACCUUGCCGUGGGUGAGAGUUCCAGCAUCUCCUGUCCUCACAGACACCUGGUAGGAACCGUCUUUUCAAUUUUGACUUUCAAAUAGGUGUGCAGGGGUAUCUUAUCAUGAUAUGAAUUUGCAUUUUAUUUUCUUUUUUAUUGAGGAAGAUUAGCCCUGAGCUAACUACUGCCAAUCCUCCUCUUUUUGCUGAGGAAGAUUGGCCCUGAGCUAACAUCCACGCCAUCUUCCUCUACUUUUUAUGUGGGACGCCUACCACAGCAUGGCUUGUCAAUGGUGCCAUGGCCACACCUGGGAUCCAAACCGGCGAACCCCGGGCCGCCAAAGCGGACCAUGAGCACUUGACCUCUGCGCCGCCAGGCCAGCCCCUGAAUUUGCAUUUUCUUAAUGGCGAGCAUCUUUUCAUGUGUUUCUCAGCCAUCUGUAU
ensembl:lncRNA